GGCGCUAUGGUGUAGUGGCAGCACAUGGGAUUCUGAUAUUAGUCUUCCCAUAACCCAGGUUCGAACCCUGGUAGUGCCU